rnacentral:rRNA from 1 species
UACGGAGGGGGCAAGCGUUAUUCGGAAUUAUUGGGCGUAAAGGGCGCGUAGGCGGCUAGAUGUGUCAAAGGUGAAAUCCCUCGGCUCAACUGAGGAACUGCCUUUGAAACUGUCUGGCUUGAGGCCGGAAGAGGGUAGCGGAAUUCCCAGUGUAGCGGUGAAAUGCGUAGAUAUUGGGAGGAACACCAGUGGCGAAGGCGGCUACCUGGACCGGUUCUGACGCUGAGGCGCGAAAGCGUGGGUAGCAAACAGG